rnacentral:rRNA from 1 species
AUGAGGGGGGAGGCCAACGGAGGGGACCGGCGGCCGCGGGACGAGGAGGAGCCGCCGCAGCAGCCGGAGGAGGAGCAGGACAGGACGUCGAGGCCGUCUUCCGGGCAGCAGCAGCAGCCGGCUGCGGCGGGGGCGGCGGCGACGACGAGGAGCGUGGGGUACGUGGGGAAGCACCGCCUCUCCGCCGCCAUCCAGCGCCUCGACCAGGAGCUGCAGUCACUCCAGGAUGAAUUGAAUGAGCUUGAAACCAUGGAACCUGCAUCUGCGGCAUGCCGGGAGGUGAUCACAAGUACUGAAGGAAAACCUGACCCGCUUCUUCCAAUCACAAGUAGCCCGGAGAACUCUUCAUGGGACAGGUGGUUCCAGCGCGUGCGAAGCUCUCGCAGCAACAAAUGGUGGCAAUCCAAAGGCUCCGAUUUUGCCUAG